rnacentral:rRNA from 1 species
UUUGAGACCUUUGAUUUUGUGUUUUAUUUGCACAUGAUGUUGCAUAUAUUAGGAAAUGCAAAUAAUUUGUCACAUUAUUUACAAAAAAAGGAUCAAGACAUCCUUAAUUCCAUGUCAUGUGUGAAGUAAACAAGGAACGAGCUACAAGAACUAAGGGAGAAUGGAUGGGACUCACUGAUACAGAAGGCAUAUUCAUUUUGUGAAGAACAUCACACUGAGAACACGAAUAUAAAACAACAAUAUAUCAAUCAACACAAACCAAGACAAAAAACUAAUAAGACAAACCUCCAACAUUACGAAGUAGAGUGUCUUAAUUCUGUUAUUGACUGGCAACUUGAAGAGUUUGAUGACCGUUUCAAUGAGGUAAAUUCUGCAUUACUUGGUCACAUGUCUUCUUUCAACCCAAAAGAUGGAUUUGUCACAUUUAACUUGGAUAGCUUAGUGAAGCUAGCUGAGUUUUAUCCAUAUGAUUUUGAUUCAAAAAAAAAAGGAUGA